rnacentral:rRNA from 1 species
UGGGCGACUCCUAAGGAGACUGCCGGUGACAAACCGGAGGAAGGUGGGGAUGACGUCAAGUCAUCAUGGCCCUUACGGCCUGGGCUACACACGUGCUACAAUGGUCGGUACAAAGGGUUGCCAAGCCGCGAGGUGGAGCUAAUCCCAUAAAACCGAUCGUAGUCCGGAUCGCAGUCUGCAACUCGACUGCGUGAAGUCGGAAUCGCUAGUAAUCGUGAAUCAGAAUGUCACGGUGAAUACGUUCCCGGGCCUU